GUGUUCCGGCCGCAGCCCAGAGCCAGCUGCAGCUCCUUGAUCCGAGCCGGAUCCUGAGCUGGGGACACCGGCUGAAGCCGCGGCGGCGGCGGCGGCGGCGGCCACGCCACGGGGCUCCGUUGUUGAGGCUGCCCCGGCUCUGUCGGCUGCUCAGCUGCGCUCCAGUCGGCCCAGGCGCCGGGGCGAGGAGCGAACGCUGCGAGGCGGCGGCCUGAGGUGGCACAGAAUGUGGUCCUGUACACAGGCGACUCCAACCUGGUGUGGAGCCGUUUGAGGCAGCUGGAGACAUCUUCUUCAAUGGGGCCUGGGAGCGGGAGAAAUCCGUGUCCUUCUACCAGGACCGGGCCCUGCCCCUGGCAGUGACUACGGGCAACCGCAAGGCCGAGCCGCAGCUGCAGCUGUGCAACAAGCUGGUGGCAAUGCUGGCCAUGCUGGAGGAGCCCCAAGAGGGCUUGGAGGUUGCCCACAUGGCCCUAGCACUCAGCAUCACUCUGGGGGACAGGCUGAAAGAGCGCGUGGCCUACUACCGGCUGGCCGCCCUGCACCACCGACUGGCCCAUGGCAAGCUGGCGGAGCACUUCUACCUCAAGGUCCUGUAGCUCUGCAACUCGCCGCUGGAGUUCGACGAAGAGACCCUCUACUACCUGAAGGUGUACCUGGUGCUUGGUGACAUCAUCGUCUACGACCUGAAGGAAGAGAUGAUGAUACUACUCCCACUACUGGAGAAGGUGCACACCCCCCUGUGAUAUUGUUCCUCAUAACUUGUGGGGAAGAGCGUGAUACUACUUCCAAUAUGACAGUGGCUUGACACCCAGUCUGUGAUAUUGCUCCUAAUUUCCAGUAGGUAAAGUAUGAUGUUCCUGCUGAGAGAAUAGUAGGUGCACAGCCACCCUGUGAUGUGUCUGCAAAUAUUCAGGGAAACACAGGAGGACAUUACCCCAAAUCUCCCAAAAGGUAUACACCUAUUGUGUGAUAUGGUUCCUAAUAUCCGGAGGUGCAGAGAUUGGUAUUCAUUCUCCUGUCGCAGGCUGUGUACACGCAUCCGGUGAAAUUGUUCCUAAUAUCCUGAACAAAAGAGACUGCUAAUAAU
rnacentral:lncRNA from 1 species